rnacentral:rRNA from 1 species
UACGAAGGGGGCUAGCGUUGUUCGGAAUUACUGGGCGUAAAGCGCAUGCAGGCGGAUCGCUAAGUCAGGGGUGAAAGCCCGAGGCUUAACCUCGGCGGGUCGGUGGAUACUGCCAGUCUUGAAGGUGCUAGGGGGAAAUGGAAUUACCGGUGUAGCGGUGAAAUGCGUAGAUAUCGGUAGGAACACCAGUGGCGAAGGCGGUUUCCUGGGGCAUUCUUGACGCUGAGGCGCGAAAGCUGGGGGAGCGAACGGG